AAUAGGAGGGAACACACAGAUCGGUUUCGCCGACUGUUGCAAGUGCUGCCUGCCAUCAUGUUAUUUAGCUAUUCCUUUCGUAAUGGAGACGGCAAUACAUCGGCAAGUUUUCAACGUGAUUAGACGGCUAUAAGCCAUGCAACAAUGUUAGAAAUGGCCAAUCAGGAACACGCACAGUUUGGCCUGCCUGUUGCUGCAACUAACAAGUCAUCAACUGGUGUCACUUCACUAUGGAUGAGGUUGCCUUCGGUCCUGUACUUGCAGCAACCUGAGCUCAAGGACAGUUAUUGUUUUGACCUUAUCCCUCCCGCUUCAAGCUGAAUGCGACAGUAAGAAAUCCUAUUCGCACUGUUACUCCUUUCUUGAGACUCUGAUCGGAGCGACGACAACUUCCUGAAGAAGUUUCUAACCUGCUGCUUUACUUGAGAAUCAGACGUCUGCCAUGUGAUAAAUGAGCAGGACUCUUCCUAAUUCUCACAAGUGAGUGAGAUUAGUUCAACUUGUCCAAAAGGCAACCAUACUUUUGUAUUGUGAUGAGUUCCUGGUGAUGGCGACCCUUGUCUGCCACUUUGCAUGCUUCUAGUACCGGAGCAAUGGCCCAUGGAAACCACGAGAGGGCAAACUACUUUUCAAGCAAGAGCAUACCUGGCCGCUGCAGGAACUCCUGAUGUUAUGUUCACUCAGGGAAAGGGUCCUAGUAAAAGCCUCUGAAAAUCUUUUAUAUAUCAAGUGCAUGCAGACAUGUUUCCAUGUUGAUUCCUUGGACCUUGUAUGUUUGGCCACGAUGGCAACCAUGGGGGCUGUAUGCUGUCUAGAAGCCAAAAGAGAAGGGCUGACCGUGACAUGUAGCCGCAACGAGCAGAAUUAGGGACGGUCUCAUGAAGUGCAAGAAUAUUGGGAACUUGAUGACACUUUACUGAAAAUCAAACUUGUGUGUCCGGAUCGGGCACGUCUCUCUUGUUUGUCCUCUCAUCUCAUGAAUGUUCGCCAAUCGCGUUGCGACAAAGACGGGUCCUCAAGAGCUGCAUCUGCCGACGAGCAUUGAACAAGAACUUUCAGUAGUAGUAGUGGUAGUUACUUUGUUACUUUGUUAAAGCAUCUGACAAGUAACAAGACUUGAUCCUGACUGAACGCACAUGGUGAAAAUCAGGUGCUUGUUUUGUGGAUUGGAUAGGAGUUGUGCAUGGUGUAGGAGAUUCGUCUCGUCGAUUAUUUAUCAGUAACUUGAUUAGCCCAGGAAAUGAGUUUGCUGGGACUCCUUGGCAUCUUUCUAACU